rnacentral:rRNA from 1 species
CCUACGGGAGGCAGCAGUGGGGAAUCUUGCGCAAUGGGCGAAAGCCUGACGCAGCCAUGCCGCGUGAAUGAUGAAGGUCUUAGGAUUGUAAAAUUCUUUCACCGGGGACGAUAAUGACGGUACCCGGAGAAGAAGCCCCGGCUAACUUCGUGCCAGCAGCCGCGGUAAUACGAAGGGGGCUAGCGUUGCUCGGAAUUACUGGGCGUAAAGGGAGCGUAGGCGGAUAGUUUAGUCAGAGGUGAAAGCCCAGGGCUCAACCUUGGAAUUGCCUUUGAUACUGGCUAUCUUGAGUAUGGGAGAGGUAUGCGGAACUCCGAGUGUAGAGGUGAAAUUCGUAGAUAUUCGGAAGAACACCAGUGGCGAAGGCGGCAUACUGGCCCAUUACUGACGCUGAGGCUCGAAAGCGUGGGGAGCAAACAGGAUUAGAUACCCUGGUAGUCCACGCUGUAAACGAUGAGUGCUAGUUGUCGGCAUGCAUGCAUGUCGGUGACGCAGCUACGACAUAAGACACUCCGCCGUCGGGGUAGGUACGGUCGCGAAGAAUUAAACUAACAAUAGUAAGUUAGUACGGCGUGAGACGUGACCGACGGACGACGACGAGGGAGGAGG